rnacentral:miRNA from 1 species
UUUCUCAGGUUGUCUCGUCC